rnacentral:lncRNA from 1 species
GGGGUGAAGCUUCUCUAUAAGAAAAUGAAAAUGACCCAAAUUCAGCUCUUUUAUUUCUGUAGCCUUUUAUUUAGCCCCUGGGAACCCCCAUCCCAUUGCUCUCAGCUGCAUCCAUGCUGCUGACUGACAUCUCUGAGCAUUUUCCUUUAUUUGGAGCAAAGGCGCGACCCAGAAUUUCGUCUUGGGAUGCUUUCCCAUGUGUGUACAUACAAGUUAGGUGUCUUCUCCAAAUCCCACCUUUCUUACUUCCAUCUCUCUUUUAAUGGUAUUUCAGCCAAGUGUCAUCUGCACAUCUGUCCAGCAACGUACAGCACUCUUUGUUCAUGUGAACUUAUCAAAGUACAGCUGUGACCUGUUAGCCUUGAUGCCUUCUUUUAAUUUUAUCCUUUAAAUUAAAGUCAAAGUUAAUAGUCUGUAAAAUAGCUCUGGACUGUCUGGAUAACAUCCUCUUGUUUCAAAUACUUUCUUAUUUCCUAAUGUUUCAAUUGGAUCAGAAGAAAGAUUCUAUUAGCAGCUAGAUUUGCUCACCUUGGUACUGAUCUUGUUUACCCUGGAGUAACCCAGUUGGUGGUGGCACUGUAUUUGUGUGAAGAAUUUGGCUCUUUAGGUGAACUGCGUGUUUGGGUGGGACCUUUUUGGUGUGGGGACAUAGAGUCAAUGUGGCACAAGAUGCCACCUCAAACAUUAAUGUAAUCAUAGUGGAUUGUGUCAGAAGUCUUUCAAAGUAUCAUAUGAUGACUAUAGUUGCCAGAAUAGGGAAAAACACAUGCAAAAUUACGUUCCCAGGGGAUUCUCUGGUUUGAGAGCUCUAUUCCUGCAAGUUUAAGUCACUUGGUUCAUGCCAAAUCACAGCCGUACAAUACACAUGCCCAGGUUGUGCUCUGAGACAAGGCAGCUGGAUUCAGGCUGACUGUGGGACUUGGAGUAAAUCAGUUCAGUUUGUGCCACCGUUCCCGGUCCAUUGGGCUUGGUUACCUUGCAGGGUGGUUGUGAGAAAUACUGAGCUAGUAUAUCCAAAACUUGGGAGAUGCAUUUACUUUGUGGUGUUAUUAUAAGGUUGUAUUUUUCUAUGGAGGAAUUUAAUGUGUCUAAUUUCAUUUAUGUCCCCAAGAAAAGCCUUUAUUUAAAAAUCUCUCUGUAUAGGAAGUGAAGUCUGUUGUGUAGCUGAUGUCCAGCACUCUGCAGAUACACAAGGUGUUGGGUCUAAAGGUGGCACGUUGGUAACACUCCUCCUGAUGUUGCUAUUGGGCACUUUGAAUCAUUUGCAGUUUAAUUUAUCCAUGUCUGUCUUUUACCACUUUGUUGUGUUUGUAAAGUCGAGGUUUUUCCUUUUCCACCAGAAAGUACUACCAAAAUAAAGAUGGAUUGGAUUGUUAAA